UCCAGGGUAGCCUAGUGGACAUGGCAUCUGCACGGUAAGCACGUGGGUUCGAUUCCCAUCCCUGGAC